rfam:Vigna angularis cultivar Jingnong 6 scaffold445_27, whole genome shotgun sequence.
CCAAUGGAUUUUUUUAAAUCUACCAACAAUACAAGGUCAGAUUAGU